rnacentral:rRNA from 1 species
GGCGAACGCUGGCGGCGUGCCUAAUACAUGCAAGUCGAGCGAGCGGAACUAACAGAUUUACUUCGGUAAUGACGUUAGGAAAGCGAGCGGCGGAUGGGUGAGUAACACGUGGGGAACCUGCCCCAUAGUCUGGGAUACCACUUGGAAACAGGUGCUAAUACCGGAUAAGAAAGCAGAUCGCAUGAUCAGCUUUUAAAAGGCGGCGUAAGCUGUCGCUAUGGGAUGGCCCCGCGGUGCAUUAGCUAGUUGGUAAGGUAAAGGCUUACCAAGGCGAUGAUGCAUAGCCGAGUUGAGAGACUGAUCGGCCACAUUGGGACUGAGACACGGCCCAAACUCCUACGGGAGGCAGCAGUAGGGAAUCUUCCACAAUGGACGCAAGUCUGAUGGAGCAACGCCGCGUGAGUGAAGAAGGUUUUCGGAUCGUAAAGCUCUGUUGUUGGUGAAGAAGGAUAGAGGUAGUAACUGGCCUUUAUUUGACGGUAAUCAACCAGAAAGUCACGGCUAACUACGUGCCAGCAGCCGCGGUAAUACGUAGGUGGCAAGCGUUGUCCGGAUUUAUUGGGCGUAAAGCGAGCGCAGGCGGAAGAAUAAGUCUGAUGUGAAAGCCCUCGGCUUAACCGAGGAACUGCAUCGGAAACUGUUUUUCUUGAGUGCAGAAGAGGAGAGUGGAACUCCAUGUGUAGCGGUGGAAUGCGUAGAUAUAUGGAAGAACACCAGUGGCGAAGGCGGCUCUCUGGUCUGCAACUGACGCUGAGGCUCGAAAGCAUGGGUAGCGAACAGG